rnacentral:lncRNA from 1 species
UAGCAUAUAAUAAAUUUUAAAUAUAUUUUACAAGUGUAACCACUUUUGUAAGAGUAUAUUGGUAAAUUUUAUUGAAUAAUAAAAGACAAGAUACAAACUUGGAGACUAGAGCAAAACCUAAGGUAAAAUACCGAAAUAACUUCUGCCUCGUUAAAAACCUUAUCAGUAAAACCCAGUGGGAGAAAACCUGAUGAGGAAAAAAAGAGUGCAGAGCAAUAACAACAAUCCAAAAGGAAUCACCUUCAAAUACAUUAAAAAUAACAAAUGCUAGUACACAUAAAGAUGUUUCUUAGUACUAGAAAUAUAAAGCAUCAUGGUAUGGCAUUCAUCUUCUCCAACGCCAUCAACUACUGCUUUGCUUUCUCUUGUGACCCUUCAAGCUGCAUAUGCCUUUUGCACAGCUUCGUCAUCUACAUUACCCAGUAAAUAAAGAAAAAUGUCACUC